AUAUUUUAUUGUCCUUUCUUUGUUAUCCAAAAAAUAAGUUCUAUAAUUUUUUUGUUAAUUAUCAUUUUCUGAGUUUUAAACCUUUAAUUGGUCACACUUUGGAUCAAUUUUGGGGCUGGGAACCAUAAAACCGCUUACUCGAUCAACUUUUUGGAUAGGAUGAAGAUACUAAAUUUUUGUUUGGGUAUACAUAAAUAAUCUCGAUUCAAAAUUAUUUAGGGGGUCAAAUGAUUACUAUUAUAUAAUUAAAUUCAUUCCAGCUGCUCUUCCCAAACAUGAGAAAAAGUUGUUGCUGUUGUUACGGCUGAGAAGCCUUGCUAACGGAUGUGAAAGAGGAAAAAGAACAGAGCCUUGAGAUUUGGAUAAAUAUUUUGCAAUCAGUAAAUCGAAACAAGAGUUUAUUGGAACUAGCAACUCCACAAAAACAGUGCUGUAAAGUCUAGACUAUAAUGUAACCUGGUACACGCAAACUGAUCAGACUUACUGUUUCUAUUGCGGUUUAAAUGGGUUUGGGACAAGUGACAUGUGAUGGUGGGCGACAACUCGAUUUAAAGUGGCAAGAGGGAAGAGGCGAUCUACGGCGGGCGGCGGUUCGGUGACAAACAAGACAAUGGUCGUCAACAAAGGUUGGCUAUGUCGGUACGGCGGCCACAUCUGGUGAUGAUCGGUGGCCAAUUCGCUUCGGUGAAGGUGAAAUAAAUCUGCCCCGUAAAGUGCAGCGAACGAGACCUUAACUUCCUGUGUUCCGUGUUGGUUUCGGUAUCAAAUCACAGGGUACCUGGCAACAACGAUUUGGGUUGUUUUGGCUAAGUGGGAAGUGCUCAGGGGCAACAAAUGGUGGUCAAAUAACACCGGGUAGUGGGGUGAUGGCUGCCAUAACAUAACGGAAAAUGGGACAUCCACGUCAUGUGAUUUGGGUUCGGUUUUGGGGUCGAAUCAUAGUGUACGUACAUAGCGUGGGUUUGAACGUUAUAGGUUCAGCCAAGCAGAAUAUUAUGCAGGUCAAGAUGGGCGGUGUUGCAUGGUUGGACGGGCUGGAGUGGAUUAUGUAAAGAAA